rnacentral:rRNA from 1 species
CAAGGAAUCUUCCGCAAUGGGCGAAAGCCUGACGGAGCAACGCCGCGUGUGGGAUGACGCCUUUCGGGGUGUAAACCACUUUUCUCAGGGAAGAAGCACUGACGGUACCUGAGGAAUAAGGACCGGCUAACUACGUGCCAGCAGCCGCGGUAAUACGUAGGGUCCGAGCGUUGUCCGGAGUUACUGGGCGUAAAGCGCGCGCAGGCGGCGGUGUAAGCAUGGCGUGAAAGCCCCAGGCUCAACCUGGGAGGGUCGUCGUGGACUGCACCGCUUGAGGGCGAUAGGGGCUGGUGGAAUGCCUGGUGUAGUGGUGAAAUGCGUAGAGAUCAGGCGGAACACCCGUGGCGAAGGCGGCCAGCUGGGUCGUCCCUGACGCUGAGGCGCGAAGGCGUGGGGAGCGAACGGG